rnacentral:rRNA from 1 species
CCUACGGGUGGCUGCAGUGGGGAAUAUUGCGCAAUGGGCGAAAGCCUGACGCAGCGACGCCGCGUGAGGGAUGAAGGUCUUCGGAUCGUAAACCUCUGUCAGCAGGGAAGAACGGUCACUGUGCUAAUCAGCAGUGAAUUGACGGUACCUGCAAAGGAAGCACCGGCUAACUCCGUGCCAGCAGCCGCGGUAAUACGGAGGGUGCGAGCGUUAAUCGGAAUUACUGGGCGUAAAGCGCUCGUAGGCGGUAUGUCAAGUCAAGGGUGAAAUCCCCGGGCUCAACGUGGGCAAUGCUUUGGAUACUAGGAAACUGGAGUGAGAGAGAGGAUAGUGGAAUUCCAGGUGUAGGAGUGAAAUGCGUAGAUAUCUGGAAGAACAUCAGUGGCGAAGGCGACUUACUGGCACUUAACUGACGCUGAGGAACGAAAGCGUGGGUAGCAAACAGGAUUAGAUACCCCAGUAGUC